AGAGAGCUUGCUCUCGGGUGACGAGCGGCGGACGGGUGAGUAAUGUCUGGGAAACUGCCUGAUGGAGGGGGAUAACUACUGGAAACGGUAGCUAAUACCGCAUAACGUCGCAAGACCAAAGUGGGGGACCUUCGGGCCUCAUGCCAUCAGAUGUGCCCAGAUGGGAUUAGCUGGUAGGUGGGGUAACGGCUCACCUAGGCGACGAUCCCUAGCUGGUCUGAGAGGAUGACCAGCCACACUGGAACUGAGACACGGUCCAGACUCCUACGGGAGGCAGCAGUGGGGAAUAUUGCACAAUGGGCGCAAGCCUGAUGCAGCCAUGCCGCGUGUGUGAAGAAGGCCUUCGGGUUGUAAAGCACUUUCAGCGGGGAGGAAGGCGGUGAGGUUAAUAACCUUAUCGAUUGACGUUACCCGCAGAAGAAGCACCGGCUAACUCCGUGCCAGCAGCCGCGGUAAUACGGAGGGUGCAAGCGUUAAUCGGAAUUACUGGGCGUAAAGCGCACGCAGGCGGUCUGUCAAGUCG
rnacentral:rRNA from 1 species